rnacentral:misc_RNA from 1 species
AACAUCGCGCACCUGCGGGAACCUGCGGAGGGAUCAUUACAGAGUUGCAAAACUCCCUAAACCAUUGUGAACGUUACCUAAACCGUUGCUUCGGCGGGCGGCCCGGGUCCUUCCCGGCGCCCAUCGGCCCUCGCGGGCGCCCGCCGGAGGUAAACCAAACUAUUGCAUUGUAUGGCCUCUCUGAGUCUUCUGUACUGAAUAAGUCAGAACUUUCAACAAUGGAUCUCAGAUCGGAAGAGC